AGAGUUUGAUCCUGGCUCAGGAUGAACGCUGGCGGUCUGCUUAACACAUGCAAGUCGAACGGAGUACUUCGGUACUUAGUGGCGGACGGGUGAGUAACGCGUGAGGAUCUGCCCUCAGGAGGGGGACAACGACUGGAAACGGUCGCUAAUACCCCAUAUGCCGAGAGGUGAAAUGUUUUUUCGCCUGAGGAUGAGCUCGCGUCAGAUUAGCUAGUUGGUGGGGUAACGGCCUACCAAGGCGACGAUCUGUAGCUGGUCUGAGAGGAUGAUCAGCCACACUGGGACUGAGACACGGCCCAGACUCCUACGGGAGGCAGCAGUGGGGAAUUUUCCGCAAUGGGCGAAAGCCUGACGGAGCAAGACCGCGUGAGGGAUGACGGCCUAAUGGUUGUAAACCUCUUUUCUCUGGGAAGAUAAUGACGGUACCAGAGGAAUAAGCCUCGGCUAACUCCGUGCCAGCAGCCGCGGUAAUACGGAGGAGGCAAGCGUUACCCGGAAUUAUUGGGCGUAAAGCGUCCGUAGGUGGUUAAUCAAGUCAGCUGUUAAAGAGCGGAGCUCAACUCCGUUAGAGCGGUUGAAACUGACUGACUAGAGUUUGGUAGGGGUCGAGGGAAUUCCCAGUGUAGCGGUGAAAUGCGUAGAUGUUGGGAAGAACACCGGUGGCGAAAGCGCUCGACUGGGCCUGAACUGACACUGAGGGACGAAAGCUAGGGGAGCGAAAGGGAUUAGAUACCCCUGUAGUCCUAGCCGUAAACGAUGA
rnacentral:rRNA from 1 species